ensembl:lncRNA
GAAUCACAGAGAACAUCAAUCAGAAUGUCAACAAAGAAAACCCACUCUUGAUAUGGUGCUUCCACAUUCACAUUCAGAAACUCUAAGGAGACGUGUGAGAUGGAAUGAUAGCCGAGUUAGAGAUCAUGAGAUUGAGUUCCUGGAUCACUUGAUACAUUGGACAAGUAAAUUUACAGGUGGACCCCACAAGCUCAGGCUGAUCACAGGGGCAAGACAGCACCCCAAGGAAGAAGAUAAGGAAAAGUCAGCCAACCUGCGCACAAUGAUGAAGAAUCUGACCUCCUGCCUUAAUAAUUCACUGAGACUCUUACUCCUUUCUUCCCUUAAAAAAUUGUUGCAUUUGAGCAGAAUCCUUGGCACUGGUCUCUGGACGAGAGUCCACUUUCUCCCCAGAUUGCCAGCUCUUCUGCAUAAAGCACAUUUCUUCUGCCAAAGCUUGCCCCCUGAUUUAUCGGCUGUUGAGCAGCAAACAGCCAAACCUGUGUUUGGUUACACCAACUGUUAGCUUCACUUUCUUCUCUGUGAUCACGAUUCUGUGUGCAUUUGGACUCUGGUCCUGAUGGCUUCAGAUGUGACUGCUUUGCAGAGAAGGCCCAACCUGUGGAAGUUUUCCAUCAUAUCAAGUUGAUGUUUUUAUGACCGUGACUUAAUGUUUUUGUAUAAAGAAGUUACCUAUUUAUAAUGGAAAACAAGGAGAAACAGAUUUUAUUGUGGCUGGGGAAAUGCUCCCUGGAAGAGGGGCCUUCUGCCAGUUAACCCUUCCAGCACAGACCAACCAGGAACCAGGCAGUUUUAAACCUGACAACACCAUGGAAUAAACAUCCUGGAUGGCCGGCUGUAGGAGAACACUCUCACUGCCCGCCCCCUCGGUACACCCGCCCUUCCAGGAGUACGCUGGAGGAGGCAUGCAGAUAGAAAAAGGAGAGAGAAUUAUGGUUUUAUUUUUCCCUUUUUCUUUGAAAAAAAAAAAAUACACACCAUCCUUGAUUUGUGGGAAAAUUUAUAGACAUAACAAUGUUUUAUGCCUGAUUUUAAGAGCAUUUUAAACACCUUUUGCCAAUAGCAAAAAUGUUGUUAUUGCUGUUUAGUUUCUAAGUCAUGCACGACUCUUUUCCACUUCAUGCACUGUAGCCUGCUGGGCUCCUCUGUCCACAGGAUUUCCUAGGCAAGAAUACUGGAGUGGGUUGCCAUUCCCUCCUCCAGGGAUCAAGCUUGUGUCUCCUGCAUUGGCAGGCAGAUUCUUUACCAGUGAGCCACCUGGGAAGCCCUGUGACAAAAACACUUGAAUAAAAUAAUCAUGAAAAAAGUAGAAC